GAUGAACGCUGGCGGCGUGCCUAAUACAUGCAAGUCGAGCGAACGGACGAGAAGCUUGCUUUUCUGAUGUUAGCGGCGGACGGGUGAGUAACACGUGGAUAACCUACCUAUAAGACUGGGAUAACUUCGGGAAACCGGAGCUAAUACCGGAUAAUAUUUUGAACCGCAUGGUUCAUAAGUGAAAGACGGUCUUGCUGUCACUUAUAGAUGGAUCCGCGCUGCAUUAGCUAGUUGGUAAGGUAACGGCUUACCAAGGCAACGAUGCAUAGCCGACCUGAGAGGGUGAUCGGCCACACUGGAACUGAGACACGGUCCAGACUCCUACGGGAGGCAGCAGUAGGGAAUCUUCCGCAAUGGGCGAAAGCCUGACGGAGCAACGCCGCGUGAGUGAUGAAGGUCUUCGGAUCGUAAAACUCUGUUAUUAGAGAAGAACAUAUGUGUAAGUAACUGUGCACAUCUUGACGGUACCUAAUCAGAAAGCCACGGCUAACUACGUG
rnacentral:rRNA from 1 species